GACCUUUGUUUAUGUAACUUGAACGAAAUCUUAGUGGCGGACGGGUGAGUAACGCGUGGGUAACCUACCCAUUAAGCCGGGACAACCCUUGGAAACGAGGGCUAAUACCGGAUACGCUUAAUAUCUGGCAUCAUCGCUUAAGGAAAGGCGGCCUCUGAAAAUGCUGCCGAUAAUGGAUGGACCCGCGUCUGAUUAGCUAGUUGGUGGGGUAAGGGCCUACCAAGGCGACGAUCAGCAGCCGGCCUGAGAGGGUGAACGGCCUCUCUGGGACUGAUACACGGCCCAUACUCCUACGGGAGGCAGCAGUGGGGAAUCUUCCGCAAUGGACGAAAGUCUGACGGAGCAACGCCGCGUGUAUGAUGAAGGUCUUCGGAUUGUAAAGUACUGUUUUUAUGGAAGAACGAUCGUGUCAUGAGUAUGGGCAGGAUAUGACGGUACCUAAUGAGGAAGCCCCGGCUAACUACGUGCCAGCAGCCGCGGUAAU
rnacentral:rRNA from 1 species